AGAGUUUGAUCAUGGCUCAGAUUGAACGCUGGCGGCGUGCCUAACACAUGCAAGUCGAGCGGUAACAGGUGUAGCAAUACAUGCUGACGAGCGGCGAACGGGUGAGUAAUGCUUCGGAAUCUGCCCAAUGGUGGGGAAUAACCAGCCGAAAGGUUGGCUAAUACCGCAUACGUCCUACGGGAGAAAGCAGGGGAUCGUAAGACCUUGCGCCAAUGGAUGAGCCGAAGUCGGAUUAGCUAGUUGGUAGGGUAACGGCCUACCAAGGCGACGAUCCGUAGCUGGUCUGAGAGGACGACCAGCCACACUGGGACUGAGACACGGCCCAGACUCCUACGGGAGGCAGCAGUGGGGAAUAUUGGACAAUGGGGGAAACCCUGAUCCAGCGACGCCGCGUGUGUGAAGAAGGCCUGCGGGUUGUAAAGCACUUUUAGUGGGGAUGAAAAGUUCAGGGAUAACACCCCUGGAUCUUGACCUAACCCACAGAAAAAGCACCGGCUAACUCUGUGCCAGCAGCCGCGGUAAUACAGAGGGUGCAAGCGUUAAUCGGAAUUACUGGGCGUAAAGCGUGCGUAGACGGUUACAUAAGUCGGGUGUGAAAGCCCCGGGCUCAACCUGGGAAUUGCAUUCGAGACUGCGUAGCUAGGGUGCGGAAGAGGGAAGCGGAAUUUCCGGUGUAGCGGUGAAAUGCGUAGAUAUCGGAAGGAACACCAGUGGCGAAAGCGGCUUCCUGGUCCAGCACCGACGUUCAGGCACGAAAGCGUGGGGAGCAAACAGGAUUAGAUACCCUAGUAGUCC
rnacentral:rRNA from 1 species